GAUGAACGCUGGCGGCGUGCCUAAUACAUGCAAGUCGAGCGAAGCGGGGACGGGUGAGUAACACGUGGAUAACUUCCUAUAACACUGGGAUAACACUGGGAAACCGGAGCCAUCCCGGUUACUUACAGAUGGAUCCGCGCUGCAUUAGCUAGUAGGUAAGGUAACGGACUACCAAGGCAAAGAUGCAUAGCCGACCUGAGAGGGUGACCGGCCACACUGGAACUGAGACACGGUCCAGACUCCUACGGGAGGCAGCAGUAGGGAAUCUUCCGCAAUGGGCGCAAGCCUGACGGAGCAACGCCGCGUGAGUGAUGAAGGUCUUCGGAUCGUAAAGCUCUGUUAUUGGGGAGGCGGUACCUAAUCAGAAAGCCACGGCUAACUACGUGCCAGCAGCCGCGGUAAUAC
rnacentral:rRNA from 1 species